rnacentral:lncRNA from 1 species
AAUAAUUAGGGUGUGUGUGUAUAAUAAGGUAUUUUAUAUAUGAUAAUUGAAUCAUUCUAUGUGGCGUGAGUUGAAACUUAAAAGAGUACAAAAAUUGCUAUACCUUAAAUUUUACUCUUAUUUGAAAUUUUGAAUAGUCUAUAAUGGGAUAUUGUUUGAUAGUAAUUAUUUAAUGUCCUCCGAUUGUAUGUUUGUUUGAUGUCAUUUGUUGCUUGGGCGAGUCUGUGCUGCUGUAUGUUUACAUUUAUUUGCUAUUUCUAAACUUUUGUUAUUCCCUCCCUUGUUAAUUGCAUCAAAAUUUCCACUAUAUUUGUCUUUUUUCUUUAUGCUGUCAUUGGGACUUCAUAUCCCAUGAACUGUUUGGCUAGGUGAUUCUUUCAUGCUGAGUGUGUUUUGGUGUUGUUUUUCCUACUGUGCAACUGUGGUUUUUGAACAAUUUACCUUCUUGUCUGUCUCACAAUUGAAGGUUCCAUCUUUCUUAUGCUUCUCGGCUGCAGACAUCGUUUUCUUUUGUUGAUUAAACAAAAAGGUAUUGAGCAUUUUGAAGCAACAUCACCAAACUUUUGUCCUGAAGUUUAUUUCUUAUUAGUGCAUUAAAAUUCACCAAUAUGUGAUAAUGUUAUGAGUUAGAGCAUUAAAUCUGAUUUGUAUAUUGAGGUAUAAGUUCAUGAUUUGUAUAUU